rnacentral:rRNA from 1 species
UACAGAGGUCUCAAGCGUUGUUCGGAUUCAUUGGGCGUAAAGGGUGCGUAGGUGGUGAUGCAAGUCUGGUGUGAAAUCUCGGAGCUCAACUCCGAAAUUGCACCGGAUACUGGCGUGACUCGAGGACUGUAGAGGAGAUCGGAAUUCACGGUGUAGCAGUGAAAUGCGUAGAUAUCGUGAGGAAGACCAGUUGCGAAGGCGGAUCUCUGGGCAGUUCCUGACACUGAGGCACGAAGGCCAGGGAGCAAACGGG